rnacentral:rRNA from 1 species
AUCAUGUAUGCACCGGACGAGAGAGUAGAGCACCCCGGCAACUUCGUCACCGACUCAUCAUGGUAUCAGGUUACAUGGUGAAGGGCUUUCAAAGUCCUAUCAGAACACUUUCUAAAAAAAGAAGUCCUAUUGUGACAACUGGAAGCUGCAAAACGGCCCCGAAAGGUCUCAGCACGUGCAUUGUUGUGGCCAUUCCACGGCGUUUGUUUCCCCCGGGGCACAUGGUCCGUCUCCCGUUUGCUGUUCCACACUCCAUCACUAAAAGAAAAUAAAACUCCAUCAAUGGCCAGUAGAAACGCCCAACGCAACCGAGCAACGCCACUCAUCAUGGGCAACAAACCCCAUCAUCACGGUCACCCUUGACACUUCCGCCCGCCGUCUCCCCGCGUCCUCGUCCCACUCGAGAAGGCACAAUGGAGAAGGAGAAACAAGGCGGCUGCUACAAAUCAACCGACUGAUUUCCACGGGAAAUCAGUCGGGUCUGUACCCGUCCGAUCAACCCUCGUGUAGCCGUUCGAUCAUGCACAUGAAGCCCCCAUCGCAUCCUUGUCCCUCCGUCGCAGCGGCCCAUGUAUCGCAACAACACCUGCGUUACGCUUCUUCGCAACACCGGCAGCCGCCGGGGCGUGCUGAGCCGCCGCACCGUGGCGCCUCGCCCAUCUGACCAGCAUCUUCGGCGAGUGUUGCAUCCCAAAAUCAGCCGCAGCACUGUCGACCGCCGACGGGCCACAUAGCAGUAGCGUCACAAUUGUUGCAUGGCAGCGCCGGCAAAGAUGUGUCGUAGCACCGGCCGCCGCCGACAAAUCCCCGCAUCAGAGCGCCGGCAGCACCGUCCAACGUUGCAUCGCAGCAACGGCAACCGCCGAUGAGCCGCCAUAGCAGUCCAGCGUCGCGAGACGCGAGGUGCUGCAUAGCAGCGCCGGCGAGGCUGCGUUGCAGCACCGGCAACCGACGACGGCCGCCAUGUCACAGCGCCGACAACAGCGUCGAACGUGCUGCGUUCACGAGUGCUGCAUAGCAGUCGUCGGCGACAUCGACGAGUGCCGCAUCGCAACACCGGCGCCGAGGAGCUUUGCGUCGCAGCACUUGUGGCACCGUUGGGCGUCGAGUCGCAGCACCGGCAGCUCCGAAUCAAACGACGAGGGCUGCGUCGCAGCCACCGGCAGUCGUCGACGAUCGCCGCGACGCAGCGCGGCAGCACCGGCGUGUGCUCUCAAGCAGCAGCGGGGUGGUGCUUGGGCAGCCAUGGCGAAUGCAGCAGGCCAUGGUGCGAGAUUUGUGGGGGACGGAAGGGGAUUGAACUUGGUGGAACACUCGAGCGGUUUUCGUUAGCUCUGGAGGACGAGGAGAUAAGGCUGGCA